rnacentral:rRNA from 1 species
GGCUCAGGAUGAACGCUAGCGGCAGGCUUAACACAUGCAAGUCGAGGGGUAUAGUUCUUCGGAAUUAGAGACCGGCGCACGGGUGCGUAACGCGUAUGCAAUCUACCUUUCACAGAGGGAUAGCCCAGAGAAAUUUGGAUUAAUACCUCAUAGUAUAGCAGUUUCGCAUGAAACCACUAUUAAAGUCACAACGGUGAAAGAUGAGCAUGCGUCCCAUUAGCUAGUUGGUAAGGUAACGGCUUACCAAGGCAACGAUGGGUAGGGGUCCUGAGAGGGAGAUCCCCCACACUGGUACUGAGACACGGACCAGACUCCUACGGGAGGCAGCAGUGAGGAAUAUUGGACAAUGGGCGCAAGCCUGAUCCAGCCAUGCCGCGUGCAGGAUGACGGUCCUAUGGAUUGUAAACUGCUUUUAUACAGGAAGAAACACUACUUCGUGAAGUAGCUUGACGGUACUGUAAGAAUAAGGAUCGGCUAACUCCGUG